UACCUGGUUGAUCCUGCCAGUAGUCAUAUGCUUGUCUCAAAGAUUAAGCCAUGCAAGUCUAAGUACGAGCUCUCGUACAGUGAAACUGCGAAUGGCUCAUUAAAUCAGUUAUGGUUCAUUUGAUCGUACAGUUCACUUGGAUAACUGUGGUAAUUCUAGAGCUAAUACAUGCUAGAAGCGCCGACCUCGCGGGAGGCGUGCAUUUAUCAGACCAAAAACCGGCCGCGUCUUCGGGCGCCUUCCCCCUGGCGACUUCUGAAAACUUUGCCGACCCCCC
rnacentral:ncRNA from 1 species